rnacentral:rRNA from 1 species
ACGGAGGGUGCGAGCGUUAAUCGGAAUCACUGGGCGUAAAGCGCACGUAGGCGGUUUCGUAAGUCGGAUGUGAAAGCCCUCGGCUCAACCGGGGACCUGCAUUUGAUACUGCGAGACUUGAGUGCCGGAGAGGGUGGCGGAAUUCCAGGUGUAGGGGUGAAAUGCGUAGAUAUCGGGAGGAACACCAGUGGCGAAGGCGGCCACCUGGCCUGCAUCUGACGCUGAGGUGCGAAAGCGUGGGGAUCAAACAG